UACGGAGGGGGCUAGCGUUGUUCGGAAUUACUGGGCGUAAAGCGCACGUAGGCGGAUCAGCAAGUUAGGGGUGAAAUCCCGGGGCUCAACCCCGGAACCGCCUUUAAGACUGUUGGUCUGGAGUCCGAGAGAGGUGAGUGGAAUUCCGAGUGUAGAGGUGAAAUUCGUAGAUAUUCGGAGGAACACCAGUGGCGAAGGCGGCUCACUGGCUCGGUACUGACGCUGAGGUGCGAAAGCGUGGGGAGCAAACAGG
rnacentral:rRNA from 1 species